rnacentral:rRNA from 1 species
GAUGAACGCUGGCGGCGUGCCUAACACAUGCAAGUCGAGCGAAAAGACGAGGAGCUUGUUCUCUUGCCGUUAGCGGCGGGCGGGCGGGUAACGCGUGGAUCACCUUCUUCUAUGUCUGGGAUAAUUACGGGAAACCGGAGCCAAUACUGGCUAAUAUAUUGAACCGCAUGGUUCAAUAGAGAUUGACGGCUUUGCUGUCUCUUAUAGCUGGUUUCGGGCCGCAUUAGCUAGUUGGUAAGGUAACGGCUUACCAAGGCUACGAUGCGUAGCCGACCUGAGAGGGUGAUCGGCCACACUGGAACUGAGACACGGUCCAGACUCCUACGGGAGGCAGCAGUAGGGAAUCUUCGGCAAUGGGCGAAAGCCUGACCGAGCAACACCGCGUGAGUGAUGAAGGUCUUCGGAUCGUAAAGCUCUUUUAUUGGGGAAGAACAGAUGUGGAAGUAACUAUGCACGUCUUGACGGUACCUAAUCAGAAAGCCACGGCUAACUACGUG